rnacentral:rRNA from 1 species
GACGAACGCUGGCGGCGUGCUUAACACAUGCAAGUCGAGCGGUAAGGCCCUUCGGGGUACACGAGCGGCGAACGGGUGAGUAACACGUGGGUGACCUGCCCUUAGCUCUGGGAUAAGCCUGGGAAACUGGGUCUAAUACCGGAUAUGACCUCAUGACGCAUGUUGUGGGGUGGAAAGCCUUGUGCGGCUAGGGAUGGGCCCGCGGCCUAUCAGCUUGUUGGUGGGGUGAUGGCCACCAAGGCGACGACGGGUAGCCGGCCUGAGAGGGCGACCGGCCACACUGGGACUGAGACACGGCCCAGACUCCUACGGGAGGCAGCAGUGGGGAAUCUUGCGCAAUGGGCGAAAGCCUGACGCAGCGACGCCGCGUGAGGGAUGACGC